UGGGGAAUAUUGCACAAUGGGCGCAAGCCUGAUGCAGCCAUGCCGCGUGUAUGAAGAAGGCCUUCGGGUUGUAAAGUACUUUCAGCGGGGAGGAAGGCGAUAAGGUUAAUAACCUUGUCGAUUGACGUUACCCGCAGAAGAAGCACCGGCUAACUCCGUGCCAGCAGCCGCGGUAAUACGGAGGGUGCAAGCGUUAAUCGGAAUUACUGGGCGUAAAGCGCACGCAGGCGAUCUGUCAAGUCGGAUGUGAAAUCCCCGGGCUCAACCUGGGAACUGCAUUCGAAACUGGCAGGCUAGAGUCUUGUAGAGGGGGGUAGAAUUCCAGGUGUAGCGGUGAAAUGCGUAGAGAUCUGGAGGAAUACCGGUGGCGAAGGCGGCCCCCUGGACAAAGACUGACGCUCAGGUGCGAAAGCGUGGGGAGCAAACA
rnacentral:rRNA from 1 species